CCGACCUUGAAAUACCACCCUUUAAUGUUUGAUGUUCUAACGUUGACCCGUAAUCCGGGUUGCGGACAGUGUCUGGUGGGUAGUUUGACUGGGGCGGUCUCCUCCUAAAGAGUAACGGAGGAGCACGAAGGUUGGCUAAUCCUGGUCGGACAUCAGGAGGUUAGUGCAAUGGCAUAAGCCAGCUUGACUGCGAGCGUGACGGCGCGAGCAGGUGCGAAAGCAGGUCAUAGUGAUCCGGUGGUUCUGAAUGGAAGGGCCAUCGCUCAACGGAUAAAAGGUACUCCGGGGAUAACAGGCUGAUACCGCCCAAGAGUUCAUAUCGACGGCGGUGUUUGGCACCUCGAUGUCGGCUCAUCACAUCCUGGGGCUGAAGUAGGUCCCAAGGGUAUGGCUGUUCGCCAUUUAAAGUGGUACGCGAGCUGGGUUUAGAACGUCGUGAGACAGUUCGGUCCCUAUCUGCCGUGGGCGCUGGAGAACUGAGGGGGGCUGCUCCUAGUACGAGAGGACCGGAGUGGACGCAUCACUGGUGUUCGGGUUGUCAUGCCAAUGGCACUGCCCGGUAGCUAAAUGCGGAAGAGAUAAGUGCUGAAAGCAUCUAAGCACGAAACUUGCC
rnacentral:rRNA from 1 species